rnacentral:rRNA from 1 species
UCCUGGGGCUGUAGUAGGUCCCAAGGGUUGGGCUGUUCGCCCAUUAAAGUGUUACGCGAGCUGGGUUCAGAGCGUCGUGGGACGGUUCGGUCGCUAUCCGUCGGAGGCGUCGGAGAUUUGAGAAGGCCUGUCCUUAGUACGAGAGGGCCGGGGUGGACGUACCUCUGGUGUACCAGUUGUCCUGCCAAGGGCAUGGCUGGGUAGCUA